rnacentral:rRNA from 1 species
UACGAAGGGGGCUAGCGUUGUUCGGAAUUACUGGGCGUAAAGGGUGUGUAGGCGGUUCUUUAAGUUUGGUGUGAAAUCUCCCGGCUCAACUGGGAGGGUGCGCCGAAUACUGAGGGACUAGAGUACGGGGAGAGGAAAGUGGAAUUCCUGGUGUAGCGGUGAAAUGCGUAGAUAUCAGGAGGAACACCGGUGGUGUAGACGGCUUUCUGGACCGUAGCUGACGCUGAGACACGAAAGCGUGGGUAGCAAACAGG